AUGAAGAAUGCAAGUUUACCUCCAGGGGUGGCAGUUCUGCGAUGUUGGUGUGGCGAUCUUUGCAAGGUGAAGGAGGUGACGAAUUUUUCAGAUUGGUUGGGCAUGAAGUUUUUCAUGUGCGCCAAUUAUGAGGAAGAUCCACCCGUAGCUAUUUCAGAGUACGACAAGCCUUCGGUAUGCUUUAACCAUGACGAAUAG
rnacentral:rRNA from 1 species